rnacentral:rRNA from 1 species
ACGAGAUCUUCGGAUCUAGUGGCGCACGGGUGAGUAACGCGUGGGAACCUACCUUUUAGUAUGGGACAACGUUUGGAAACGAACGCUAAUACCGUAUACGCCCUCCGGGGGAAAGGUCAGCCGCUGAAAGAGGGGCCCGCGUCUGAUUAGCUUGUUGGUAAGGUAACGGCUUACCAAGGCUUCGAUCAGUAGCUGGUCUGAGAGGAUGAUCAGCCACACUGGGACUGAGACACGGCCCAGACUCCUACGGGAGGCAGCAGUGGGGAAUAUUGGACAAUGGAGGCAACUCUGAUCCAGCAAUGCCGCGUGUGUGAUGAAGGCCCUAGGGUUGUAAAGCACUUUCAACGGUGAAGAUGAUGACGGUAGCCGUA